UACGUAGGGGCAAGCGUUGUCCGGAUUUAUUGGGCGUAAAGAGCGUGUAGGCGGCCAGGUAGGUCUGCUGUGAAAACUCGAGGCUUAACCUCGAGCUGUCGGCGGAAACCAUCUGGCUAGAGUCCGGAAGAGGAGAAUGGAAUUCCCGGUGUAAGCGGUGAAAUGCGCAGAUAUCGGGAAGAACACCCGUGGCGAAGGCGGUUCUCUGGGACGGUACUGACGCUGGAGACGCGAAAGCGUGGGGAGCGAACAGG
rnacentral:rRNA from 1 species